rnacentral:lncRNA from 10 species
CCUUGUCAGAUUUCUGCAUAAAACCAUGGCCCGGGUAAGUUUUGUUGCAGAAGUGGAGAACAGAUCUGGAACCUGCCUGAGGUCAGCCUGGGAGUGGUGAUUCCACAGUGGGGUCCACAGUGCAGCCCGAGCCCAGGGGCAUCCAGUCUCCUGAAUGAACUCCAGGGUCUCCCAGUGGAAGGGACAAGCUCUGCCACUUUCUCCAUGAGGUCAGCUUGCACGGAGAGACUCUUAGAAUCCCAAGCUUGGUCUGGGUUUUCUUGAAUCUAAGCCUAAGUGAGGCAUAAUUUGCAGGUUUCGCUGCUUGUUAAUCAGUUUAUUUUCUCCUGCAACUUUCUAAAUGUAGCUAUGGCACAGCAGCCCUGGAAUGACAACCGGAGACUUUGUGCUUGCAAAAGCUUAUCCUUCUUUGCUGGGAGUUCUGGGAUAACGUAGGUCGGAUCAGAAAACGCCAUAUGCUAGUUCACAGGGAAUUUCCAAAGAGCAGCUAGCUCCAGUUGGUUGCUAAGAGACAGCUCCACAGCUGGACUUUGGCUGCAAAAUUUGAACAAAAAAAGAAGAGCACAAAUGAGCUUGCCAGGUAACAGAAUCUGCGAUGACUUCCCGUCCUGUUUGCUGGCAUCUGUGCUUCCAGAAGCAAUAAAGCAUCACUUUCCUGCUUGUGAUUUACAUGAGGAGAAACAGGCAGACACUCUUCUCCAAGGGGUUUCCUGACCAGCCUUGAAUCUGCUAGCCAGAGCCUAGCAGGACUCUGAGACAAUGAGAUUCCUGAUGCUGGUAAUGAAUGAAGGACAAUGAGAUUCCUGAUGCUGGUAAUGCAUGAAGAAAGAUCAGAGUUAUAAGUGGACUAUGCUUCCAUCCUCCCAAGAGUUCUCCUGGGGUUAGUUUAAAGACAGGGGAUUAACUCUAUUAAAAGUAGAUUUGGCAAAAAGCUGAAAUCAAACACAUGCUUAUGAAUAGGGAACGGGUGAAAUAAGUCAUGGUACAUCCACAGAAUGGAGUAUUACUUAGCUAUAAAUAGACAUGAAGAAUCAUCCACAGAAUGGAGUACUACUUAGCUAUAAAUAGACAUGAAGAAUACUUUUAUGUUUAAAAAGUAUUCAUGUUGCUUUUUCUCCAGGAUGAAAUUUUAAGUUAAAAAAAUUGAAAUUGGCCGGGCGUGGUGGCUCACGUCUG